rnacentral:rRNA from 1 species
GAUGAACGCUGGCGGCGUGCCUAAUACAUGCAAGUCGAGCGAACAGACGAGGAGCUUGCUCCUCUGACGUUAGCGGCGGACGGGUGAGUAACACGUGGAUAACCUACCUAUAAGACUGGGAUAACUUCGGGAAACCGGAGCUAAUACCGGAUAAUAUAUUGAACCGCAUGGUUCAAUAGUGAAAGACGGUUUUGCUGUCACUUAUAGAUGGAUCCGCGCCGCAUUAGCUAGUUGGUAAGGUAACGGCUUACCAAGGCAACGAUGCGUAGGCGAACUGAGAGGGUGAUAGGCCACACUGGAACUGGACCACGGUCCAUGCUACUACGGGAGGCAGCAGUAGGGAAUCUUCUGCAAUGGGCGAAAGCCUGACGGAGCAACGCCGAGUGAGUGAUGAAGGUCUUCGGAUCGUAAAGCUCUGUUAUUAGGGAAGAACAAAUGUGUAAGUAACUAUGCACGUCUUGACGGUACCUAAUCAGAAAGCCACGGCUAACUACGUG